UCGUAUAGCUAUGGUGUCAUGGGCGGUGUCGAUUAUGUACCGGCAAAUUAUGUUCUUCAGACUGUCCUUAUGUACAGAUCGGCUGGUAUUAACAGGGCCAUGGAUGAUUGGGGUCGACUGAUGACAACAUAUUAUGGUAAAGAUGGUUCUUACAGACAAAGUGAUUUAACACUAAAUUAUAUAGGAUAUUGGACGGAUGGAGGUGCCUAUUACUACUAUAACGUUGAAACAAAUAAGGAUUAUGAACAGACUAUUUUAGACUGUGUACAGUAUGGAAGAGAUAUAAAUAUGCCUUACAGGUAUUUACAGAUUGAUUCAUAUUUCUAUUAUAAAGGACCGCAUGGUGGAGUGCAAACAUGGACACCGAUGCCC